GACGAACCGUGCGAACGUUGUUCGGAAUUACUGGGCGUAAAGGGCGCGUAGGCGAUUUUGUAAGUCAGGGGUGAAAUCCCGGGGCUCAACCUCGGAACUGCCUUUGAUACUGCAAAUCUCGAGUCCGAUAGAGGUGGGUGGAAUUCCUAGUGUAGAGGUGAAAUUCGUAGAUAUUAGGAAGAACACCGGUGGCGAAGGCGGCCCACUGGAUCGGUACUGACGCUGAGGUGCGAAAGCGUGGGGAGCAAACAGG
rnacentral:rRNA from 1 species